UAACUUAAUAUAGUUGAAAUCUUAGCAGUCUAAUUCAAGAAUCAUUAUUAGUCUAGAUCUUUUGCAGGAAAAAAUAAAGAAAAAUAAUGAAGUUAAACUGCUUUACAAACACUUUUUAGCUUCUCCCCAUUUAGGGCAGUUAUUCUCCCCUUUGCACUGCUCCUUAGUGUCCCAAGGUCAGUGGUUUGCUUCUGGUGGGGUUGUCAGCAGUUGUAGUCCUGUCCUAGGAAGAACAAGAUGUUGAUAUUGAUGACUCCAUCUUCUUCAUUCUAGGAUCCACCAUUCAGGAUAAUUUUUCUACAUUUGCUGACACACUUUUACUCCUUUGCCUUUACUUUGUUGGUUUGCAGCUCCACGAGACAUCUGGAUUUAUAAUGUAUGGUGUAUUUUACAUGUACUGCAUACUGUUUUUUGUUCUCUUAGAUACCUCUAACCCCAGUUUUGUCCAGAUUUGCAUUUUGUUGCUGAUCAUGGCUGAGUUGCUCAUAGUUACCAGUGCCAAGUAGUCCUCAUCUCUUACCAUCCCAUAGCUGAAUUCCUCUAUAACACCUCUUGUGUUUUAAGGCACAGGCUCUCUUAUGGACCCUACUGUCUGACCAGGCCUGUAUCUCUUCAUACUACAUCCUUAUGUUAGUCAUGUAUGUAUCUCAGUACACAUUGAGUAACCACUUUUUUACAGCUAUCUGCAUGAAAAUAUCCUUGUUCAAAGACAAAUCAAAGUAAAACAAAUUAGAGGUAUUGAACUGGUCAGUUGGAGGAAUCACAAACACAGCUGUUCCAAUUGAAACAAAGAUGUAUUCAGACAAAGCACAGCUGACAAGCCUCAGGACUUGUGAAGCCUUGCAAAUUCAGUGUGAAGUUUAUGGCCUGUUGGUGGUAGUAGUAUGGCUGUAUUGCAGAGCUGUAAGAUUGCAGCUUCCAAAACUUUUAAAAAUGCACUGACUCUUCUUCCUGUACCCUGUGUACUGCUCUUAAUGCCUUCAAAACUUCCUUAACACCAUGGCAAUAUUUCAUGUCAGAGAAGAAGGAAGACCUUGUUGCUGAAGUCUGGUGUCUGUGAUCUGUCUGCUGUGUGAUCAGCAGUACUCAUUUAAAGAGGACUGAUGUUUCAGUGUUUCCAUGCUUGCCAGAGUGGUGAAGUGUGCUGAGUUGCUGAGUGUGUGGAGAGCCAUCCUUUGGAGCAGCGAGCAGCACCACUGCAGGGUGAAAAGGAGUGGAUGAAAACAGGCAAUGCACCUCACAAGACAGAAAAUUAGUCUCUUUGCCAGAGACAUGGUUUGGAUACAGAGGACUGGGCAUCUGGUGCAGCCUACGCAGUGCUGGUGGAUGGGAAGAGACCACUGGCUUGGUCAACUGAGCAGAACAUGCUCUGUGGUGCUCCAGCAGUCCGUGGGGAUCUUGGAUCCUUGAUGGCAGGUCUCCAUGAGGAAUAUUUUGAUUAUUACUGAUUGUAGGUACUGAAAAGAUCAUGACUAUGAGGGUACUCUAUUAGAGAGUGGAAUGUCAGACAAUUUGCUCUCUGAGCUUACUUAUGGUUUUCUUAUUUUUUCUACCUGGUCCUCAGGCAGCACAAGGAAGGAGUUGUUCCACAGAGUGCCUUCUUGAGCUUCUGCCGCUGUGUAAUAUGUAUGAAUUCUACAAAUAUAUGCAUAAAAGAAUUGAAACCUUAAAUAGAGACACUGAAACAAUGUUUAUUGAUACUAUUUAGAAAGGUUUCAAAAACCUGUUUUAAUUAGCAGAAUCUGGAAUCAAAGUUUUGCAUUCUUUGGCAGGAUCAUGGUGAUUAAUUCUUUACCUUUUCUUAGGUAGGUCACAAUACAAUGGAAUUAUACAAGAUGACUUAUGUUAGCAUAACAUUUCAGUUUGUUGUAGUGGGUCUGACACUCUGGCCCACAGCUGAUGACACAGCAUAUGCCUGAAGGGCUAUGGAUCUACUAUCAGUUGUGAGCCUUUGUAAUCCAGUUGCAGUCAAUGAGAAUAGACUGUGGACAGCAGUGUACCCAGCAGAAGCAAGACUGACCAAUGUUUCACCUGUUGGCAGUGUUGGUAUGAAUGGUCCUCUCCUGAAGAUCUGUAGGAGCCAGCAGGAGCACAGUAAACUCCAGAGACUUCUGUAAAAGUCUACAAUGCAAUCUGUUAGUCCUAAAUUGUUUUGUGCUGAAUGGAUCAUUUCUGCAAUUAGGUUUGUAUUGCAGAGAGAAGGCAUUAAAUAAAUGAGUGAGGUGUAGCACUCUGUAACUGCAGACAGAUAUUUUAAAAAAUGUCCUCAGUGGGACCUAAAUUAAGGUUGACCUAUUUGUCAUCUUCACUUCUUUGAGACAGACAUUUACCAUGCUCCUUUACAUACAGUUGCAAUACCCUCUCUGAAUAAGAAAGCCUGGCAGUCAAUUAGGGCUUUGCCUUGAGUGACCUGCCCACUGACUUAAAAGAUUAAAUGAUGAUGCAAUAUAGUAAUUUUUUUAUUGAAAAAUAAUUAUAGAAUGGAUAGAAAUAGAUGUUCCUGACAUGAAGGAGUAAUGGACAAGGAAAAAAAAUGUUCCAGUUAAUCAACAGUGAACUAACUUUUCCUACUCCUUUGCUCAGUAGGAAGUCACUGCUGUGAGACAUUCUGGUGAAAAUCAGUGGUAAGACCUUUUUUUUUUUAGUGGGAAACUCACUUUGUGUUCAGAUUUCACUAGGUGAAACUGAGUAUACUUGGCAGAGCAGAAGUUUGGGGACAGCUCUUUAAAAGGUUGAGUAAACCCAAAACAAGACAAUAAUAAUUGAGCACUGUUCUGCUGAAAUCACUACACAUUGUGGAAUAUUUGAAUAUCUGAUCAGGCUACUUCUCUGCAAUUUCAUUUAUUUAGACAUGAGACUGCCCAUACUCACAAAAUGAGUAUUAUAAGUAUUCCUAAGAAUGAGUCUCCUCCCUUAUGCGUUUUCUGAACCACAUGACCUUUGCAUUGGUACAUCUAGCACUGAGGUCACACAGAGAAGAUCAGGAUAUAUUGCUAUAGAACCUGGGGAUCAGCAAUUCCCUAGGAGGUAUUAUAGGGAGGUAUUCUCCCAGAUUUUUCUUAGCAGUGCAACAUAGAAAAACAGGUAAUAUUACUGGAAUAUAGAGCUAUAACAGCAAACAAACACCCAGCAUACUGAUACUGUCCUGGUGACUACUUAGGGAAAACUUUGUGGAAGCUGCCACUAUAGCAGCAUUUAGGCAGCUGACUGUUCAUGUAAUGCAGGAAGCCUGGAAAGUAUGUAUAGCUUCUAAUCAAACUGAAUUUUCUUAGAAUUAGUAGCAGGAAAAAGAUAAUCUCUACAGCACCACAACUUUGCUCAACUCAUCAAUUUUUAACCUAACUUUUUAUCCACUUCUGUUUCAAUUACUUCGUGUAUUCCUGCUUGUAUUUGUCAGCCUGUGGAGAGAAGAUAGUAUAUGUGGGGGAGAGAUUCAUUUCCUCAGGCUAUUUUUCAAGAUCUGUUAUUUGAUUUUGUGUAUUCCUCUGUAGCUUCACUGGUUUUUUGUAUACCUCAGAAAGAUCUAGAAGAUAUUCUUAGUUCUUCAGCCAAGCAUGCCUGGCAACAAGCUGCAUCUUUUUGUUUAAAAAUGAAGAGGGUUACCCAUCUUUUUUGAAGUGUGAUUGUUACCCCUCUGUUGUCUCAUUUCUGUUUUACAAGACUGCUCAUUGCAAAUGCUCUCUGUUUACUGUUUCAAAGAGACAAGCUGAAUGUGCUGCAUUCAAAUAAACUUAAAAAUAAAAUAUUGAAGGGUAUCUUAAAACAUGUUAAACAUAAUCUGUAAAAGAAAGCCCAGUGAAUUUUGUACCAAAUUUCUGUAAUCAUCACUGCAGCACAUACUGCUGUUUUUUUCCUAAAGCAAAUUAUAUCUAUCCUCUUCACUAAAAUGCAUUAAAUGCUUGACAGUAAUUAUUUUACAUGUUUGCUUUGUUAGCAAGUAAAAUAUUAAGGCUUAAAUACCCCUAAUGGUAGGGACUGACAUCCUGUAGCUUUGACUUAUUUGUAUGUUUCUAAAAAGCCUUCGGAUUUCUUGGUGUUUCAAUAUUAGUCUUUCAUAUUUGAGAAGUUUUUUUUCAAAUAUUUUUCCAUUUGGUUUUAGAGAAAGAUGAAGGUUUUUACUAUGUGUCACUGGGACAAAGCAGAUGGUAGAGAAGGUAAAUGUUUUGAAAUGUCAUUAUUAUUUUGGAGAGUUUUGUUUAGACAAGAAAAAGCAGUUGUAUUUUUUAAUGUAUCAGAGGAUGUAGUGGUAAUUUGCAUUCCUGUACAGCUUUCCAUUUAAGGCUCUGAAAGGCUUUAUAGACAUCAAUAACUAAAUCUUUUUGCACCCAAACUAGGUAAAGAUUAAGAUCCUCAUCUUACAGAUGCAAAAGCUAUGCAGAGACAGAUGAGCUAGCAAGAGCUUUACUCUUUUACCCAUAAACCAGGGCUCUGGUGAAGGUUUUGUUGAGUGAAACAGCACAUGUCAUGGAUGAGAACAGCAAAUUCUUGAGAAAUGUUGUAGACCUAUUUCACUUCAGAAUGUAAGAUCAAAGUUUCUUGAAAUUUUGACUUGUAUUGAAGUAUUUACAUCCUCUUUCUUUUCUCAAAAAGAUCUUACAUCUUCUUGCCAUCUUAUAUCUAAGAAUAUUCUUAAAAUUAUUGUUUGAAAAAAGAACCUUGUCUAUGUGUUCCUGAAGAGAAUCCAGUUUCCAUGAGCUUGGCUCACUUUCUGUUCUUGCUACUUAACACCACAGUUAAUAAUUUACUUAAAAAAUAAAACCUGGAAGCAGAAAAAAUAAAAUCUGGAAACAGAAAUUUGACCUCAUUCCUAGGUGCUGUUGAUGCUGCUGAUUACAUGGAUAUCCAAGUAGUGCCAGUAGAAAAUUGGAAAAAAACCAAACUGCCAAAAGGGCAGAAACUAGAGUGGUGAAUGAGGAUGUGUGGAUCCAUUUUUGCAGAAAAGGACUCAGGAUGAACACGAACCAGCAAUAUGUCCUUGUGGCAUAGCAGAAUCUCAGAGAUGGAAACAUUCAGCUUUAAUGAUCCUGUAGAAAUGUGCUCUUUGCAGGGAGUGUUGGAUUGCACAUGAGAGUGGAGACUUCCUGUCUUCUUGGAACAUAUCAUCCACUGCUACACAGCACUACCUAGCUUUUUUAAUUUAUGAAUUUUAUGUUGUUUGAUCAGUUUCUCUGUAUCCUUGGGAUUAGAAAAGUCAUGUGAGAAUUCUUUUUUUCUUAUUGAGAAGUAAAACUAUAUAUGUUACAUGAUGCCUGGAAAAGGUGAAUAAAAUCUCAUCUCUGUGUUGUUUUAA